rnacentral:tRNA from 1 species
GCCUGGGUGGCUCAGUCAGUUAAGCGUCCGACUUCGACUCACACUUCAUGGGUUUGAGUCCCAUGUCGGGCU